rnacentral:rRNA from 1 species
AUGAAAGGAGGCAUGCAAGCAUAUGAAGUGGGCAAAGGCAACCCCAAUGAAGGACCCAAAAAUACACCUAAGGUGCUGCUCUGUUCCCCUCCGUCAGAGACAGUGUCAACGGCCCCGACGUGGGUGGAUUUGGUGGUGGCGGUGAUACACAGUAAUGCAAGCCAACAUAAUCUCGGUGAUGCAUUCCCACCUGCCGUGCUGAAUCAGAAUGGAGGAGUUCGAUUCUAUCCAUGCCAAUCGGAGGAUCUCCCGCGAUCAAGAAGGAUGCUGCGGUGCUUGCAUGAGGGCCUGCUCGUCCACAAUGGCUUCUCAAAUGAUCCACGUCUCCACAUCCAACAUCUCUUAGUCUCUUCUCCUCUCUACCAUGUCGAUCUCCCGCUCCAACCAAUCUCUUAG